GCCGGGAUGGCGGAAUCGGUAGACGCAGAGGACUUAAAAUCCUUCGGAGAAACCCUCCGUGCGGGUUCGAAUCCCGCUCCCGGCA
rnacentral:tRNA from 1 species